rnacentral:rRNA from 1 species
AUUGAACGCUGGCGGCAGGCCUAACACAUGCAAGUCGAGCGGAUGAAGGGAGCUUGCUCCUGGAUUCAGCGGCGGACGGGUGAGUAAUGCCUAGGAAUCUGCCUGGUCGUGGGGGAUAACGUCCGGACACGGGCGCUAAUACCGCAUACGUCCUGAGGGUGAAAGUGGGGGAUCUUCGGACCUCACGCUAUCAGAUGAGCCUAGGUCGGAUUAGCUAGUUGGUGGGGUAAAGGCCUACCAAGGCGACGAUCCGUAACUGGUCUGAGAGGAUGAUCAGUCACACUGGAACUGAGACACGGUCCAGACUCCUACGGGAGGCAGCAGUGGGGAAUAUUGGACAAUGGGCGAAAGCCUGAUGCAGCCAUGCCGCGUGUGUGAAGAAGGUCUUCGGAUUGUAAAGCACUUUAAGUUGGGAGGAAGGGCAGUAAGUUAAUACCUUGCUGUUUUGACGUUACCAACAGAAUAAGCACCGGCUAACUUCGUG